UUGGGGUAGCCCCCAAAAUAUUGGGACAGAUAUAAAAAGACAACUCUGUUCCGCAGAGUAGCUGUUGACAUUAUAGUUGCACAGGAACUUUGUUGACUCUAGAGAACCUCGGGCAAAUCGCACAUCCCCGUGGCGGCGACUUUGCAUGCGGAUGUCAUCCAUAUCAACCUUCGAUGCCAGUUUCUGCGCCUACCUUGAUGACCACAGGUAACGGGGAAUCAGGGUUCCAAUCCGUACAGGGACACUGAGAAAGGCUACCACAUGCAAGGAAGGCAGCAGGCGCGCAAAUGACCCAAUACCGACGCGGGAAGGAAGUGACGA
rnacentral:rRNA from 1 species